AUUAAUUUAUUAUAUCUUCAUCAAUUUCAGCUUGAUCCCAGCAAGUACAGUUUGAUUUUGGGCAUUAUAAAUGAACAUCACCACUGGACACUUGCUGUUAUAUAUCCAUCCCAAAAGAAGACUAUUUUCUUGGCUCCACUGGGAGAGUCCAAAGAAAAAGUGAGGAAGUGCCUUGAGACAACAAGGGCCUUCAUGAGAACAAAAGGGUGCCAAGUUUCAAGAUGGAGUUGUGAAACUGUCUCCCACCCAAUACAGUCAGACGGCACAUCGUGUGGUGUUUUUGUUUGUAAGGUCUGCAUACAGUACAGCUA